rnacentral:rRNA from 1 species
UGGACGACUCUCGGCAACGGAUAUCUCGGCUCUCGCAUCGAUGAAGAACGUAGCGAAAUGCGAUACCUGGUGUGAAUUGCAGAAUCCCGUGAACCAUCGAGUCUUUGAACGCAAGUUGCGCCCGAGGCCAUCCGGCUAAGGGCGCGCCUGCCUGGGCGUCACGC